AUAUGUGGAUGAAACUCACGUCAUUCCCUGAUAAUGUCUGAGUGCCUCUUCUCAACCCUGCCCUCAUGGUCACCUCCCCCACAGGGCUCCACCCCUCAGCCCUGCACAGGGACCUCCCCUGCACCCGGCGCCUGGUGGAUGUGGCAGCUCGAGCUCUCCCUGCGGGGAGGCCCACGGUCACCAGCAUAUGUCCUGGUCAUCUGUCCAUGCCGGACCACCAGCCUCAUGGAAAGUCACUCUGCUGUUGCAGCGACUUCAGGUAGCUCCCCGAGUCAGCAUCAGCCUCUCUAUCUCUGAAAUGAAGGCAAAAAGGCUGGUCCUGGCAGCUGGCAGGAAAGCCGGGGGGCACCCAGGAGAGAGCACCAGCACCUGCUGUUAACACAUCUUCGAGUCACAACAUACUUCGUAGCGGACUGUACUUGAGAACAGUCUGGGUUGAUCCACAUGCUCUGCAGGUGUCCAUGAAAAAUGGCUUCCUCUUGCUCUCUGGGUAUCUGUGGAAUGAAAAAUAAGCAAUCCUGGCAAGAAUAAAGUUGGUCCUAUGA